AAAUUAAAACACAAAAAAUUCAAGCAGUUUUGAGAAUUAAAAAGAUUUGAAGUUUGAAAGAGAGAAAUGGCUGGUGGCUGCAAAUGUGGUGACAACUGCUCAUGUGGAGACAGCUGCAACUGUCAAUCUGGGACCAUUUCAGAGGCCAUCAUCCUUAAGAAAAGUGGAUGCAGCUGUGGGAGUAGCUGCUCAUGUGACCCAUGCAGCUGCAAGUGAGCCAUGGAAAAUAUGGUUAAAAGCCCCAAACAACAAAGCCUCUUCAUAGAAUAAGUUGAUGAAUGAUCAACCUACAAACUUUGUUCUUUCUUUUUUUCUUUUUUGUUUAAUGAAAAUGGAAUAUUGUAAUUAGCCUUGAAACUCUAAGUCCAUAUGGAUUUGGGCUUUCUAUGGCUUCUUCAAAUCUAGUGUGAACUAUAUGUAUUAUUGCUUUGUUGUGUUUGGGGAUCAAGGUUGAUAACAUUCAUCAAAUUUUAAAGUUUGUGUUUGAAUUUGUGUUUAAUAUGAAUAUUUGCUUUGGGUGUACUUUUAAUA